rnacentral:rRNA from 1 species
CAGCCGCCACGGUAAAACGAAGGGGGCUAGCGUUGCUCGGAAUUACUGGGCGUAAAGGGAGCGUAGGCGGACAUUUAAGUCAGGGGUGAAAUCCCAGAGCUCAACUCUGGAACUGCCUUUGAUACUGGGUGUCUUGAGUGUGAUAGAGGUAUGUGGAACUCCGAGUGUAGAGGUGAAAUUCGUAGAUAUUCGGAAGAACACCAGUGGCGAAGGCGACAUACUGGAUCAUUACUGACGCUGAGGCUCGAAAGCGUGGGGAACAAACAGGAUUAGAUACCCGAGUAGUCCCUGUCUCUUAUAC